GGUAUUGUGGCUUUGUGGUAGAGUGCUUGCCUCGUAUGCAUAAGGCCUUAGGUUCAAUUCCUCAGUACCA
rnacentral:tRNA from 1 species